UUGGACGAGAAUUCUCUUCCCAACAAAUAUACCGCUUUAUCGCUAGAGAAAAGAUCUACAAAAGAGAAAAGAACUUAGAAAAGAUCAACACUUAAGUUUAUCAAAGAAAAUAAUAAUAAAAUGAGUUCGAAAGCAAUCAAUCUCUUGAUCUUUGCUGCCGUGAUCUGGUGUGUAAAUGCUGAAGAAUAUUCCGUAAGAAGAGUAGCCGAACCAACAAAAGUUAUCCAAUUUAAAGACAACUUGAACGAAUAUUCAAAGGAAUUAGAUAAUGGCGAGCAGAAUGUGAACGAAGUACAUGAAGAUGACUCAAAUUUUAAUGCAACAAAAAUAUUUCUGGCACCAAUGCCACCUAAAAAUGCUUGUCCAUUUGAUUGCAAGCAGUUGUGUAUCAACAAAUAUGGAAAGUACUACAAAUGUAACCUAAAGUUAAAGAACUGCUGCUUCAUGAGUUGCUUAAUUUAUAAGAAAUAUUUAAAAUUGGGUUUAAAACCUUGGCUCUGUUAUGUUCUUACAUUUGAAAAAAUUUGCAAAUGUCGAGGCUUACUCAUAAACAAAGGCUA